rnacentral:rRNA from 1 species
GGGGGGGGGCUCGGAGGGAUCAUUACAGAGUUGCAAGACUCCCUAAACCAUUGUGAACCUACCUUCUACCGUUGCUUCGGCGGGCGGGCCCAGCGCCCCCCCCGGCCCCCCGCGGGCGCCCGCCGGAGGAUACCCAAACUCUUGACAUUAGUGGCCUCUCUGAGUAUUCUUUACUGAAUAAGUCAAAACUUUCAACAACGGAUCUCUUGGUUCUGGCAUCGAUGAAGAACGCAGCGAAAUGCGAUAAGUAAUGUGAAUUGCAGAAUUCAGUGAAUCAUCGAAUCUUUGAACGCACAUUGCGCCCGCCAGUAUUCUGGCGGGCAUGCCUGUUCGAGCGUCAUUUCAACCAUCAAGCCCCCGGGCUUGUGUUGGGGACCUGCGGCUGCCCGCAGGCCCUGAAAACCAGUGGCGGGCUCGCUAGUCACACCGAGCGUAGUAGCAUACAUCUCGCUCAGGGCGUGCUGCGGGUUCCGGCCGUUAAACAGCCUCUGCGCUACACCCAAGGUUGACCUCGGAUCAGGUAGGAAGACCCGCUGAACUUAAGCAUAUCUAAA